UGCAGGCACACAGAGGCGACCCAAGGGGAGUAAAUAAGACUUUUUCUUGUACUUCCCGAUCUUGCGCGUCCUUUUCCACAAUAAUAGCAGAGAUGUAUAGGAUCUGUAGAGUCUGUUUGCAUGUAGGCAUGUGUAGUGAUUCUGGGCAUGAAGCUACCGAAAGUGUAAAGAGAGUUUUGACAGUAAUGUGCCUAUUUGAAAGUUGCUGGACCAGAUACAGAGAAAAGGUAGCAUUGGGGCAGGUGGUGGGUUUAGGAGCUGUACAGUAAAAUGAAAAUUUGAAUUUCUGUUGAAAUCUUCCAAGAGAGGAGGCUUUUCUAGCCUGUGGAGUGGGCUUUAGGCAAAACUGACAAACUCUAAUUUUAAUCACUUGAUGCUUUUUAAUUAGGCAGGGAAAUUCUCUUCUAGAUGUUUGAGGGAGUGGCUCUCUCCCAGCGGCACACCCACGUAUCCUACCACAGUGGAGCUUGGGUAAUAUCUUCUUGCUUAAUACUGGUGUGGAGUUUGUAAACACAGCAGAUCCUGUUGUCACCAGUUUGUAGGUGGCUGUGUUUGUUCUGUCUCAGUACAUACCUACUAGCAGAAAUAACGUGCUAUGAGGAGAAUGCUUAAUGAUUUGGCCUGAAAUGUGUUAAGGGUUAAACUCUAAAAAUAAUUUGGUUUUGUUUGUUUGAUGAUGAUUUCAGAUUAAAAAAGAACUUGAGUUUUGAUAACGUUCCUACAAAUUAUUUUCUCAACAGUUUCCGUAUGCAUGGAUAUUACCUGAAUCUUCUUAGCAGAGCUUAAAUUGUGUGUCAGCUUACCCUAGCCAUGAGUGGCUCCAAACCUGAUAUCCUGUGGGCCCCACACCAUGUUGACAGAUUUGUUGUGUGUGAUUCAGAGCUGAGCCUUUAUCACAUUGACUCUGCUGUAAGUUCUGAACUCAAGGCAGGGUCCUUGCGGUUGUCGGAGGAAACUACGGCUACACUACUGUCAAUAAAUUCGGAUACACCGUACAUGAAAUGUGUGGCUUGGUAUCCCAAGUAUGAUCCUGAAUGUCUCCUUGCUGUUGGACAGGCCAAUGGCCGAGUGGUCCUUACCAGCCUCGGGCAAGAUCACAACUCAAAAUCUAAAGAUUUGAUAGGCAAAGAAUUUGUUCCCAAACAUGCUCGGCAAUGCAAUACCCUGGCGUGGAAUCCACUGGAUAGCAAUUGGCUUGCUGCUGGGUUAGAUAAACAUCGGGCUGACUUUUCAGUCCUAAUCUGGGAUAUCAGCAGCAAAUAUGCCCCAGAGACUGCAGUUGCUACAGAAAAAGUAAGGCUUUCAUCAGGAGAUGCAGAAGCAGGCCUGGUAGUAACAAAACCACUGUAUGAAUUGGGACAGAAUGAUGCUUGUCUCUCUCUCUGUUGGCUUCCACGGGAUCAGAAGCUGCUAUUAGCUGGAAUGCAUCGAAAUCUGGCUAUCUUUGAUCUUAGGAACACAAGCCAAAAAAUAUUUGUAAACACCAAGGCUGUCCAAGGAGUGACUGUUGAUCCCUAUUUCCACGAUCGUGUUGCUUCCUUCUAUGAAGGUCAGGUUGCCAUAUGGGAUUUGAGAAAGUUUGAAAAGCCUGUUUUGACCUUGACAGAGCAACCAAAACCCUUAACAAAAGUUGCAUGGUGUCCAACAAGGACUGGACUCUUAGCUACUUUAACAAGGGAUAGUAACAUCAUUAGACUGUAUGACAUGCAGCAUACUCCCACCCCUAUUGGAGAUGAAACUGAGCCGACAAUAAUUGAAAGAAGUGUCCAACCAUGUGAAAAUUACAUUGCUUCAUUUGCCUGGCAUCCCACAAGUCAAAAUCGAAUGGUAGUAGUGACUCCCAACAGGACUAUGUCUGACUUCACCGUUUUUGAAAGAAUUUCUCUUGCAUGGAGCCCGGUGACAUCCUUAAUGUGGGCUUGUGGACGACAUUUGUAUGAGUGUACUGAAGAAGGAAAGGCCAGUUCCUUGGAAAAAGACAUAGCAACCAAAAUGCGCCUCAGAGCUCUGUCAAGGUAUGGUCUUGAUACUGAACAAGUUUGGAGAAAUCACCUCUUAGCUGGAAAUGAAGAUCCUCAGCUGAAAUCGCUUUGGUACACUCUGCAUUUUAUGAAGCAGUAUACUGAAGAUAUGGAUCAAAAACUUACAGGAAACAAAGGUCCCUUAGUUUACGCUGGCAUUAAAUCAAUUGUGAAGUCGUCUUUGGGAACAACAGAGAACCUCAGGCACAGCAGGAGUGGAUCUGAUAGACAGGCAGAUAUUAUUCAAUAUCUGAGUGAGGAGAGAUCUUUGGCUUUGCAGCUCUGUGGGUGGAUAAAGAAGGGAACAGACUUAGAUGUGGAACCUUUCCUAAAUUCAUUGGAACAGGAAGGAGACUGGGAACGAGCUGCUGCUGUAGCACUUUUCAACUUGGACAUACGGCGAGCAAUACAAAUUCUGAAUAAAGGGGCUUCCUCAGGAAAAGGUGAUCUGAACCUUAAUGUAGUAGCAAUGGCUCUGUCAGGCUACACAGAUGAGAAGAACUCACUUUGGAGAGAAAUGUGCAGUACUCUAAGACUGCAGUUGAACAAUCCCUACUUGUGUGCUAUGUUUGCUUUCCUGACGAGUGAGUCCGGUUCAUAUGAUGGUGUUUUGUAUGAAAAUAAUGUAGCUGUACGAGACAGAGUUGCAUUUGCUUGCAAGUUCCUCAAUGAUGCUCAGCUCAACAGGUUUAUUGAAAAGCUGACAAAUGAAAUGAAAGAGGCUGGGAAUUUGGAGGGAAUACUGUUAACAGGGCUGACAAAAGAUGGAGUUGACUUGAUGGAAAGCUAUGUUGACAGAACUGGAGAUGUCCAGACAGCAAGCUAUUGCAUGCUACAGGGUUCUCCAUCAGAUGUACUUAAGGAUGAAAGAGUUCAGUACUGGAUUGAGAACUACAGGAAUCUUUUAGAUGCUUGGAGGUUUUGGCAUAAACGUGCAGAAUUUGAUAUCCAUAGGAGUAAGCUGGAUCCCAGCUCAAAGCCUUUAGCCCAGGUGUUUGUGAGUUGCAAUUUCUGUGGAAAAUCAAUCUCUUACAGCUGUUCAGCUAUUCCUCAUCAGGGGCGAGGGUUUAGCCAGUAUGGAGUCAGCGGUUCACCAACCAAGUCAAAAGUUACGAGCUGUCCUGGUUGCCGUAAGCCCCUUCCCCGCUGUGCACUUUGCCUGAUAAAUAUGGGAACACCAGUUUCCAGCUGUCCAGGAGGAUCCAAGUCAGAUGAAAAAGUGGAUCUUAGCAAAGACAAGAAGUUAGCCCAGUUCAACAACUGGUUUACAUGGUGUCACAACUGUAGGCAUGGUGGACAUGCUGGUCAUAUGCUGAGCUGGUUCAGGGACCAUACCGAGUGCCCAGUUUCUGCCUGCUCUUGUAAGUGUAUGCAGCUGGAUACAACAGGGAAUCUUGUUCCAGCAGAGACUGUCCAGGCAUAAAUACUGUUAGAAAAUGUGUGGCUCUCUAAUGGAUGUCCAUCAUAGUCCAAGCAGAUAAUUUAGACAAAGUGAUGAAUAUAUCCUAGAGAAGAGUUCCUCGAGAAGUCAUGUGACUGUUUCAGUGCAGAGUGCAGGUAAACUAUAGGAGGUUGUAUCUGAUAAAUUUUUAACUUAGUACUGUGAAGAUCUGAAAUCUCAAGGACUAGAGACUUGUAAAUAUUAAGUUUUAAACUACGUGCAGUUUUGACUACAAAAAUAUUUGACGACUUUGAGAUAAUCAGCAUUUCCCUGUACUUCUGAAAUAUACUAGGAAGUGUGGAAUGAACCUGUAUAAAUCCUCCUUCUGGUCUCUAGUGGACACCCAUCUGCUCCAAAUUUUGUGUAAUUGAUCAGAGUAUUUCUAGAUGUGUUACCAGCUGGAAUUAAGAUUAUUUAUUAACUUGAGAGAGCACCAAUGAUAGAUAUUUUGCUAAUUCUGUGCUAGGAGCUAAUUGGUAUUGUUGUCCUUGAUUUUGUAGGCAACAAAAUUCACAGAAAUUAGGGAAAAAACCAAACCUGUUUUAAGGUAUGUGAUAAUAACAUCAGUUUACUUGGUGUGUGUUUAUUUACAGUAUAUGAGUUAUUCAACACUUGUGUGCUAUGAAAUACUAAAUGGAAUGCUAGCAAUAAACUGGUACUAUUUGCCAGGACUGUGAAAAUUAGUGUUUUAAACAGAAUAUACUGUAAUAUACCACUAGUUCUAUGUACUCUAGUGUAGUUUCAAGAAGAUAAAAUGUGGAAAUGUUUUCUGUGGAUGUACAAGAUUACAUUCAAGACUUUGGGUUAUGUUUUCUGAGUUAGCAUUAAUGUUGUAAUACAUCUGCUGCAUUUAUUUUGAUCUAAAAUUGGCCAAGAUUUUUUUUUAAGUUAAAAAUCUAAGAGGUACUUGAUAUUUCUAGGCAUGGGAUAGCAGUUCCUUUUUUUUUUAGAAUAUUUAUUUCUCUUUCCAGUAUUUUUGCACACUUCACAUUGCUGUUGAAGAGCUCUUCAAAAUGUUCUCCAUUUAUAAAUGUAAACUGGGGCUUACAGUAUGAUACCCUAUUUAUAUAAAUACAGGCAAUAAAGGUUUUGGUUUAUGUAAAUGAGGA